AACUAAUUUUUCCGGCAAUUUUGACCGGAAAGUUAAAACAUGUGCCUUGCACGUGACAUUUGCAAGGCUAUAUUCGGCCAUUCACUUACAUCUUUAAUAUUAAAUAUAAAUUAUUCUUUAAAAAAACAAAAAAAAUUAAAAAUUAAAACAAAACAAAGAAAACAAAAAAUAAAAAAAUAUUUUGUAUUCACCUUCACCAGAUAUCCGCCCAAGACUGUCUUCUUCCUUCUUCCCCACUUCGCCCACCGUGCCACCACCAUCCCAAACCCAUCCCAGCCAAAAGUUCCGUCACCCACCGGCCGCCGAUGCCAUUACUUGCCUCGCUUCCUCCUCCGUUUGCCGAUCGAGUCUUCGAACACCUUCUCUCUUUCCGAAAAACACACACUAAAACCUCGCCUCUCUGUAAUUUCUAUAUAUCUAAUUUCUUCGAUUUGUGUGUGUGUGUGUGUGUGUGUGUGUGUGUGUGAUUGCAGGAAGUCGGCGGUAGAUUCAGGCCGUAUUCAGAAAUAACCAGUUAAUUAUUUUAUUUUAUUUUAUUGAUUCUUGCAAAAUCAAUUACAACCAGUGGUGUACUAAGAGAAAUGUUUGUCAAGCUUAUCACAAUGUCUGCCAUGGUUAGUUUUUUAGUUCUGAAAAUGUUUACUACACUGUAAUUGUAUUGUGUUUUGCUUUCAGUUUGUCGUAAUUUAGUCUUCGGAAAAUGGAAUAAAGAAUCAAUUUUUUGAUGGGGGUGGACAUUUUUGUUCUUAAUUAUUGAGAAUAAUGUGCGUAGGUUGUGCUAAAGAGCAUAAGAUCUGUGCCAAAUGUUCGUGCCGUGUCGACAAUACUAUUGGAAGUGUAUAGGUGUGUGUUCUUCGGAUUUGAAGACAUUUUAUUUAAAUUUAAUCUGGGCCGCCGAGGAGAUAUAGUGCUGCUGUUAUUUUUUCGCCGGAGAAUAUUGCUUGGCUCGCCGACGAAGCUAUAUCCGUGAGAGGAGGAUCGGUGGUGGUCGUCGGAGAAUUUUGGAAAUUUAUUAAAGUGGUGUUUGAGAUUUUUUUUGUGCAGGGAUAAAUUGGGUUGGGGAAGGAAGGUGGGUGAUGGAUGACAGCUUCUUUUUCCUUUUUUUUUUCUUUUUUUUUUUAAUAUCUAUUUGUAUUUAAUAAUUAAAGAUGCAAGUGAAUGGACGAAUUUACCCCUCAAAAUCUCACGUGCAAAGCACAUGUUUUAACAUUCCGGUCAAAAUUGCCGGAAAAUUGAGUUUA